rnacentral:rRNA from 1 species
CGUAGGUGACUUGCGG